UCUCCGUAGGUGAACCUGCGGAGGGAUCAUUACUGAGUGAGGGAGCAAUCCCGACCUCCAACCCUUUGUGAACGCAUCAUGUUGCUUCGGGGGCGACCCUGCCGUUUCGACGGCGAGCGCCCCCGGAGGCCUUCAAACACUGCAUCUUUGCGUCGGAGUUUAAGUAAAUUAAACAAAACUUUCAACAACGAAUCUCUGGGUUCGGGCAUCAAUGAAGAACGCAGC
rnacentral:misc_RNA from 1 species